AGAACUGCCUGUUGAGCUGUUGUUGAGCGGCUGGUAUCACCCUCCCCUCCCCCAUUAUCCCCCACACUGUUCCACCUCCGCUUCUGGGAGGAACCAGUCGGGGCCACAGAGCAGACUCCCUCAUCUCAUCCCACCAACUCUGUCAGUCCAGCAGGCCCCACAAUGCAGCCUCCACACCACUGCAGUAACAGCCACAUCUUCCCAUCACAAAGCUUCAGUACUAUCUCAAUGUGUUGAAUUACCAUCCAGGAUCCUGUGGCAACGUCAAUGUGAAACCGCAUUGACCCGUGAUCACCACCAACCAGGGCUCCACAGUGGUAUCCUUCGAUGCCCAGGCUUCGCUCAAGAUCAACUGAAGGAGAUUUGGAAGGAUCCCAGGAUGGCCUCCCCAGAGAGCACACCAGGCAGCAAACAGCACUGUGAUGUGAUUGGCUGGUCAGCAGGAAGUAUUAUCUGG
rnacentral:lncRNA from 1 species